rnacentral:lncRNA from 1 species
UCAGCUUCAGUGGUUUAAAAACCCAACUGCAGAGGGAGCUCACGCAUCUUGUAAAAUUUGUGUAUUUGUGUGUUGAAGGUGGUUGCUUGUGUUGAGAAAGGUAGCUGGUGGUGCUGUUUAGUUUGUGUUCUUCCAUUUUCCAAAAGCUUGUAAGUUAUAUAUUCAAUAUAUUUUAUAUGUUUUAUUUAGGUAGAUGUUUAUAUGCCAGAUUAUAUUUUGAUAAAUAAAUAGUUUUAGGUAGUAUAAGAUAAGAGAAUAAUUUUGUAUAAUUUAGUUUGAAUUGUUAAUGUUAUAUGGUAGAUUAGAUUUAGGUUUAUAUGAC